rnacentral:tRNA from 1 species
AAGAGAUGUAUGUUAAUGGUUAACUAUAAGAUUGCAAAUCUAUAUAUAAAGAGUUCGAUUCUCUUCAUUUCU